UACGUAGGGGGCGAGCGUUGUCCGGAUUCAUUGGGCGUAAAGCGCGCGCAGGCGGUUGGCAGAGCCCGGCGUGAAAGCCCCCAGCUCAACUGGGGGAGGCCGUCGGAGACCUGUCGACUUGAGGCCGGUAGGGGAGAGCGGAAUUCCCGGUGUAGUGGUGGAAUGCGUAGAUAUCGGGAAGAAUACCCGUGGCGAAGGCGGCCGACUGGGCCGGAUCCGACGCUGAUGCGCGAAAGCGUGGGGAGCAAACAGG
rnacentral:rRNA from 1 species